rnacentral:rRNA from 1 species
GAAAGCGUGGGAGCAACAGGAUAGAUACCUGGUAGUCCACGCCGUAACGAUGAGUGUAAGUUUAGAGGGUUCCGCCCUUAGUGUGAAGUAACGCAUUAGCACUCCGCCUGGGAGUACGGCCGCAAGGCUGAACUCAAAGGAAUGACGGGGGCCCGCACAAGCGGGGAGCAUGUGGUUAAUUCGAAGCAACGCGAAGAACCUUACCAGGUCUUGACAUCCUCUGACAACCCUAGAGAUAGGGCUUCUCCUUCGGGAGCAGAGUGACAGGUGGUGCAUGGUUGUCGUCAGCUCGUGUCGUGAGAUGUUGGGUUAAGUCCCGCAACGAGCGCAACCCUUGAUUUUAGUUGCCAUCAUUUAGUUGGGCACUUUAAGGUGACUGCCGGUGACAAACCGGAGGAAGGUGGGGAUGACGUCAAAUCAUCAUGCCCCUUAUGACCUGGGCUACACACGUGCUACAAUGGACGGUACAAAGAGCUGCAAGACCGCGAGGUGGAGCUAAUCUCAUAAAACCGUUCUCAGUUCGGAUUGUAGGCUGCAACUCGCCUACAUGAAGCUGGAAUCGCUUGUAAUCGCGGAUCAGCAUGCCGCGGUGAAUACGUUCCCGGGCCUUGUACACACCGCCCGUCACACCACGAGAGUUUGUAACACCCGAAGUCGGUGGGGUAACCUUUUGGAGCCAGCC